UAGGAAACAGGAGGAGCUGGUGUACAGUGUGAGGAAAAGGCUGGAGGAGGCCCUGAUGGCCGACAUGAUGGCGCAUGUCGAAGAGGCUUCCAAUGACGACGAGGCUCUGAAGGACGACGGCGACGGCAGCGAAGAUAUGGAGAGUGCAUAGCACAGGGAUUUGUUCAACGCCCGCACACAUGAUCAUGAACAGUGGGAGUCUACAGCAGUCCUGCCCCGAGUAUCUGCGUUCAACCCUGACCCAACCCGACUAACACCAGUCCUGAACGACCUAAAGAACGGUCUUCCCCCGAGCCAAAAAACCCCUGGGAGUCUCAAAUGCACCUAUUCAUUAUUAACUCCACUAGAUGGGACUCCUUGACUUCAACGACAAUUAAAUUACAUAUAUAUGAGCUGACAUUAAAAAAAAAUCCCGUUUUAACUUUCAAAUAUUAAAAUUAAUUUAUCUACAGUGUGUCAAAUUCAGUUUUUGAUGAGAAGCGUAUUUUUUACCGAGAGGCUUUGAAUGGGUUUGUAUUAAUUUAGUGACAGUCAGAUCCAAACAUUUUACGUCAGCUAAAUGUUUAUCUGGAUGUUUCCUUUUUUUCUUUUUUUAGGACAGAUGGAAAUGAAUGUUUUGUAUUUUUGGCAUGUCUCUUUUUCUUUUCAUUACUCUCCAAGAAUUGUCUGACACAAAACACAAUGUUUUCUAGUCAAACCAGUUGAGCUGUAACAAUAAGUUAAUUUAAUAGGUGCCAGCCUGCAGUUCUGCUGUUGAUACUAAUGCAGACGUUGUAGUUUGAAUCCUGUGUUGAUCCAUCGGAAAGCAAAGUAAAGUUUUUAUUGUAGUAGUUUCAAGGAAAUCGUGUACUUUAUGGCAGCUGUGUCAUCCUGUGAGUAAUGGUUGUUGACCAAAGAGGUCGUUUGGAAGAGGGUUGUUUGACAUUUGUCAAAUCUGCUUGGUAUUUUUACCGUAAGCGAUUAUGUUGGCUAUGCCGUUGUAAAAUUAAUAUAAGGAAAGUAAGACACGAGUGGGAUGAGCACAACGGGAAAGAUAUCACUUAAAACCCCUUAUUAUAGGUGCUUACUGAUGUUGUGGUUGUUUAGGUUUUGUUUCUGUCCGAGUCAAUCCAGGUUUUUCUUUAUUGUUUCAAUGUUACCAGCAUAGAAUAUAUUUCCAUGUUUACCACACACAUGCUGCCUCCAUGUAAACCCAGCACAAAAUUGGUGUCAAAGCAAAAUACAGUCAAAAUGUCAUGUCAUUCAUCAUCUGAAGAAAAAUUGUUUUGUAUUUUAUAUCCCUGUGGUUUGAUGUUAAAUAAUAUAUCAAGCUAAAAUAUUGAAAAUCCCUUCUCAUUAUCAGCAGGCUGAUGCUGAAUGAAUUUGAUUGUAUUAAUUAUUAAAAAUGAGUUCAAGUCAUUAA